UAAGAAUGGAUUUACUUUAUAAUUCUUGAUUAGAUAGAAUGUCUCUGCUAAAUGAAAGUACAAAGAACACACACACACAUUUACAUUAGUGUGAUCAUCAUCAGCCUCUGAUCUCUCUCUCUCUCUCUCUCUCUCUCUCACACACACACACACACACACACACACACACAGAGAGAGAGAGAGAGAGAGAGAGGGAGAGAGCAGGAGGAACACUCUUUCCUCGUCCAGACGCGUCUCAGGCGCACAGACAGCUGCAGGAGGUGAUGCUGUCUCCUGAGGAGUCUUGAGACGCGGACAGACAGACACUGAUGACUUCACACACACUGCUGCUCUACGGGCUCGGACUCACUUUAUCCACACUGCUUUCCACACAGGUCUCCGGCCUGCAGUGUUACGGCUGUAAUGUCUUCCAUGGGCAGAGGUAUGUGGACGUGGGCUGCAGUAAUCCAGAGGUCAUCACGUGCACACUCUCACACAAGGACUUCAAGCACCGCUUCUGCAUCAAGACCGAGAGCACGGCGCUGGGCAUGGUCCUCACCAGCGGCUGUGCCACCUCUCGUCACUGUCAGCAGCAGGAGCUGCCCGGAGUCUCCAUCCACUGCUGUGACUCAGACCUGUGCAACAGCGCUCUUCACUGCUCUUCACUGCGGCGCACGCUCCUGCUGCUGCUCGUGCUCGCGCAGAGGUGCUUCUGAUGCACCGCUAGGCCUGCCACAAUCAUCCGAUGCUCUGCGAAUCGGGUAAUACUCUGCAUCUUUUCUGAGACUCUCGGAAUGCAUCAGGAUUCUCUCUGGAAUCGAUUCUGAGCUGAGUUUCUAACAGCAGACAGCACUGCAUGCUUUAGAAUCACUGCAAGAGAUGGGUUUCUUAGUAUUUUUGUCCUGUUUUCUAGUAUAAAUAUCUAAACAUAUUGAAUCAAGUUGCAUUCACAUGAGAAGUAAAAUUACUUAAAAUGAAGUCUUGUUUUCUAAAAAAAAAAAAAUUACAAAUCUAUGAAAAUGUUUCUAGU
ensembl:lncRNA